rnacentral:rRNA from 1 species
UUGAGGACAGCAGAGGAAGCUGGAAUUCCCGGUGUAGUGGUGAAAUGCGUAGAUAUCGGGAGGAACACCCGUGGCGAAGUCGGCCUUCUGGGCUGUUCCUGACGCUGAAGGCGAAAGCUAGGGGAGCGAACGGGAUUAGAUACCCCGGUAGUCCUAGCUGUAAACGAUGGAUGCUGGGUUUGGGGGGUGUAAAUUCCCUCUGUGCCGAAGCAAACGCGUUAAGCAUCCCGCCUGGGGACUACGGCCGCAAGGCUAAAACUCAAACGAAUUGACGGGGGCCCGCACAAGCAGCGGAGCGUGUGGUUUAAUUCGAUGCUACACGAAGAACCUUACUUGGGUUUGACAUGCACGUGGUAGGGAACCGAAAGGGGACCGACCUUCGGGAGCGUGCACAGGUGCUGCAUGGCUGUCGUCAGCUCGUGCCGUGAGGUGUCGGGUUAAGUCCCGUAACGAGCGCAACCCUUGCCCUUAGUUACAAGUGUCUAAGGGGACUGCCCGGGACAACUGGGCGCGAAGGUGGGGAUGACGUCAAGUCAGCAUGGCCUUUAUAUCCAGGGCUACACACACGCUACAAUGGCCAGUACAAUAGGUAGCCAAGUCGUGAGACGGAGCCAAUCCUUAAAGCUGGUCUCAGUUCGAAUUGCAGUCUGCAACUCGACUGCAUGAAGCUGGAGUUGCUAGUAAUCGCAGGUCAGCCAUCCUCCGGUGAUACGUUCCCGGGCAUUGUACACACCGCCCGUCACGUCAUGGAAGCUGGCAACGCCUGAAGCCGGUG